GUAAGUUGACAAGUGUAAAGUGGCCAAACAGAUGGCCAUUCCGAUCUUUUCUUAAAUGGAAAUUAAAACGUUGUAUGGUUUCGUAAGGGAAUAAAGAUAUACACACGUAUGCGCAUAUUUGUGAAAUGUACAUAUGCAUGUAUGUACCGUUUAUCCGGCACAGAUUUCAUGUGCACAUAUGUCUGUACGUCUUAUAUAUUAUAAAUGUAUGAAUAUAUUCUUAAGCGCGUACACACACAAAUUAUUAUGUACAUAGAAAAUAGUACCACGCCUUGUAACAAAAAUAUACAUAUGAUGUAGAGUCCCGUAA
rnacentral:sRNA from 1 species